CUUGGUCAUUUAGAGGAGUAAAAGUCGUAACAAGGUUUCCGUAGGUGAACCUGCGGAAGGAUCAUUACUGGGUCUGGGCCUCGUGCCCGCUACCCGCCCUUUGUCAUGAGACGCGAAAGCAACUCACAUCGCUUCGGCCCCGGGCGAUACCCCGCUAUUGAGUUAGCGGGCAGACCCCGCGGCCGGCCUUACAAACCCACGCGAAUCUUGAAGUCUGAACAAAUGAUAAAACGAAAAGCAAAACUUUCAACAACGGAUCUCUUGGUUCUGGCAACGAUGAAGAACGCAGCGAAAUGCGAUAAUUAAUGUGAAUUGCAGAAUUCAGUGAAUCAUCGAAUCUUUGAACGCACAUUGCGCCCUCUGGUAUUCCGGAGGGCACGCCUGUCCGAGCGCCAUUACACCCCCCAAGCUUCGCUUGAUGUUGGGCCAUGAUGCGCUAUCAGACCCCAAACCUCUAGGCGCCCCCCACUGGCCGCGAGCGUAGCAAGAUCUUCGAUCCUCGCUCCGCGUGUCCAGCGGGUCGGCCGCCUGUGAACCCCAUUUCUACAAGGUUUGGCCUCGGAUCAGGCGGGGAUACCCGCUGAACUUAAGCAUAUCAAUAAGCGGAGGA
rnacentral:rRNA from 1 species